rnacentral:rRNA from 1 species
AACUAUGUGCCAGCAGCUGCGGUAAUACAUAGGUCGCGAGCGUUAUUCGGAUUUAUUGGGCGUAAAGCAAGCGCAGGCGGAUUGAUAAGUUCUGUGUUAAAAGCAGCUGCUCAACAGCUGUUUGCACCGAAUACUGUCAGUCUAGAAUGUGGUAGGGAGUUUCGGAAUUAAAUAUGGAGCGGUGGAAUGUGUAGAUAUAUUUAAGAACACCAGAAGCGAAGGCGGAAACUCAGGCCAUUAUUGACGCUUAGGCUUGAAAGCGUGGGGAGCAAAUGGGAUUAGAUACCCCAGUAGUCCACGCCGUAAACCAUGGGUAUUAGGUGCCGGUUUUUGUGAUUCGGUGCUGUAGCUUACGUAUUAAAUACCCCGCCUGGGUAGUACAUAUGCAAAUAUGAAACUCAAAGGAAUUGACGGGGACCUGAACAAGUGGUGGAACAUGUUGCUUAAUUCGAUAAUACACGAAAAACCUUACCAAGGUUUGACAUCCCCCGCGAAGCCAUAGAAAUAUGGCGGAGGUUAUCGGGGUGACAGGUGGUGCAUGGUUGUCGUCAGCUCGUGUCAUGAGAUGUUUGGUUAAGUCCAGCAACGAGCGCAACCCUACUCUCUAGUUGAUUGUUUAGAGAGACUGAACAGUAAUGUAUAGGAAGGGUGGGAUCACGUCAAAUCAUCAUGCCCCUUAUGCCUUGGGCUGCAAACGUGUUACAAUGGCGAGUACAAUGUGUCGCAAGCUAGCAAUAGCAAGCCAAUCACCUAAAACUCGUCUCAGUUCGGAUAGGAGGCUGCAAUUCGCCUCCUUGAAGUUGGAAUCACUAGUAAUCCCGUGUCAGCUAUAUCGGGGUGAAUACGUUCCCAGGUCUUGUACAC